rnacentral:rRNA from 1 species
UUUUCAGCAGCCGCGGUAAUACGGAGGGUGCAAGCGUUAAUCGGAAUAACUGGGCGUAAAGCGCACGCAGGCGGUCGGAUAAGUCAGAUGUGAAAGCCCCGGGCUCAACCUGGGAACUGCAUUUGAAACUGUUCGACUAGAGUCUUGUAGAGGGGGGUAGAAUUCCAGGUGUAGCGGUGAAAUGCGUAGAGAUCUGGAGGAAUACCGGUGGCGAAGGCGGCCCCCUGGACAAAGACUGACGCUCAGGUGCGAAAGCGUGGGGAGCAAACAGGAUUAGAUACCCUUGUAGUCC